rnacentral:rRNA from 1 species
UACAGAGACUGCAAGCGUUAUUCGGAUUCACUGGGCGUAAAGGGUGCGCAGGUGGCCAAGUGUGUUAGGCGUGAAAGCCCGGGGCUUAACCCCGGAAUUGCACCUAAAACUACUUGGCUAGAGCAUUGGAGAGGGGAGCAGAAUUCAUGGUGUAGCAGUGAAAUGCGUAGAUAUCAUGAGGAAUACCAGAGGCGAAGGCGGCUCCCUGGACAAUUGCUGACGCUCAGGCACGAAAGCGUGGGGAGCAAAAGGG